CCUACGGGCGGCAGCAGUGGGGGAUAUUGCACAAUGGGGGGAACCCUGAUGCAGCGACGCCGCGUGGGUGACGGAGUGCUUCGGCAUGUAAAGCCCUAUCGGCAGGGAAGAAGAAAGACGGUACCUGACUAAGAAGCAUCGGCUAACUACGUGCCAGCAGCCGCGGUAAUACGUCGGGGGCGAGCGUUAUCCGGAUUGACUGGGUUUAAAGGGAGCGGAGACGGCCAUGCCAGCCAGGGGUGAAAGCCCGGGGCCCAACCCCGGGACUGCCCUUGAAACUGCAUGGCUUGAGUGCGGGAGGGGCAGGCGGAAUUCCUGGUGUAGCGGUGAAAUGCGUAGAUAUCAGGAAGAACUCCGGCGGCGAAGGCGGCCUGCUGGACUGCGACUGACGUUGAGGCUCGAAAGCGUGGGUAGCGAACAGGAUUAGAUACCCGGGUAGUC
rnacentral:rRNA from 1 species